rnacentral:rRNA from 1 species
UACGAAGGGGGCUAGCGUUGUUCGGAAUCACUGGGCGUAAAGGGCGCGUAGGCGGCUUUUCAAGUCGGGGGUGAAAGCCUGUGGCUCAACCACAGAAUUGCCUUCGAUACUGUUAGGCUUGAGACCGGAAGAGGUGAGUGGAACUGCGAGUGUAGAGGUGAAAUUCGUAGAUAUUCGCAAGAACACCAGUGGCGAAGGCGGCUCACUGGUCCGGUCCUGACGCUGAGGCGCGAAAGCGUGGGGAGCAAACAGG